rnacentral:rRNA from 1 species
AGCGAACGUUAGCGGCGGGCUAACACAUGCAAGUCGAACGAGAAAGCGUCCUUCGGGGCGUUAGUAAAGUGGCGCAAGGGUGAGUAACACGUGGGUAACCUACCCUCUGGCGCGGGACAACAGCUCGAAAGGGCUGCUAAUACCGCAUGAGCUGGUGACGGCCUAGGCUGUUACCAGGAAAGGGUGGCCUCUCCUUGGAAGCUAUCGCCAGAGGAUGGGCCCGCGUACCAUCAGCUUGUUGGUGAGGUAAUGGCUCACCAAGGCUAAGACGGGUAGCUGGUCUGAGAGGAUGAUCAGCCACACUGGAACUGAGACACGGUCCAGACUCCUACGGGAGGCAGCAGUGGGGAAUAUUGGACAAUGGGCGAAAGCCUGAUCCAGCCACGCCGCGUGUGUGAUGAAGGUCUUCGGAUCGUAAAGCACUGUGGGGAGGGACGAAAAGCAGCGGGCUAAUACCUCGCUGUCAUGACGGUACCUCCUUAGCAAGCACCGGCUAACUCCGUGCCAGCCGCCGCAGUAACAC